rnacentral:rRNA from 1 species
GAUGAACGCUGGCGGCGUGCCUAAUACAUGCAAGUCGAGCGAACAGAUGAGGAGCUUGCUCCUCUGACGUUAGCGGCGGACGGGUGAGUAACACGUGGAUAACCUACCUAUAAGACUGGGAUAACUUCGGGAAACCGGAGCUAAUACCGGAUAAUAUAUUGAACCGCAUGGUUCAAUAGUGAAAGACGGUUUUGCUGUCACUUAUAGAUGGAUCCGCGCCGCAUUAGCUAGUUGGUAAGGUAACGGCUUACCAAGGCAACGAUGCGUAGCCGACCUGAGAGGGUGAGCGGCCACACUGGAACUGAGACACGGUCCAGACUCCUACGGGAGGCAGCAGUAGGGAAUCUGCCAAUGGGCGAAAGCCUGACGGAGCAACGCCGCGUGAGUGAUGAAGGUCUUCGGAUCGUAAAACUCUGUUAUUAGGGAAGAACAAAUGUGUAAGUAACUAUGCACGUCUUGACGGUACCUAAUCAGAAAGCCACGGCUAACUACGUG